GAUCGAUACGCUACACAAACUGAGAGUGGCGCUGUUUUGUUCGCUCAGAUGCUUUUUCCGGUGAGAUACAUCCAGCAUCUUUAGAAUUGAAGGACAUUUUUGAAACACAGAGUAACAAAAUAUAAAAUAAAUAAAAAAUCUUUCCUCUGCAUCCUGUUCUGGAUUUAAUUUGACACAGAGGAUGUCUUAAUAAAGACAAUCAAAAGUUCAAGGGAUACUUCUGGAUUUUGGUGAUAAGGCCCUUUUGCUACUUCCCAGAGUCAGAUGAACUUGUGGAUAUCAUUUCUAUGUCCCUGUGUCCAGUAUCAAGGUAGUUUAGAUAAAGGGCCUCAUUGCCAACAUCCUGAAGUAUUCCUUUAAGUCUUUGUCCUAUAUUUGUAAGAGUUGUUCAUUUGUUAGACUACUGGUUAAAGAUGCAACGCAAUAUUGAUUAUUGAAUUACCCUUUGAUCUAGUUCAGUCUUAUCAAUCACUUAAACAUAAAGUAUGUAAUAAUGAUCUCUUACAUAGCUUGAUGACUGUGGGCAUUUUAGCUUAUUUUUUGUUGUUCUAUGUGCUAGAAGGGUCAUGGGUCAUUAGAUUGUUGUUCUAUGUAGAGACGCCUAGAAGGAUCAUGGGUCAUAUUAGAUUGUUGUUAUAUAUAGAGAUGGCUAGAAGGGUCAUGGGUCAUAUUAGAUUGUUGUUAUAUGUAGAGAUGGCUAGAAGGAUCAUGGGUCAUAUUAGAUUGUUGUUAUAUAUAGAGACGGCUAGAAGGGUCAUAUUAGAUUGUUCUAUAUCGAGAUGGCCAGAAGGGUCAUAGGUCAUAUUAGAUUGUUGUUCUGUAUAGAGACGGCUAGAAGGGUCAUGGGUCAUAUUAGAUUGUUGUUGUAAAUAGAGACUGCUAGAAGGGUCAUAGGUCAUAUUAGAUUGUUUGGAAAUGUAGGAAAUGAGCUUUCAAUUCCCCAAAACAUUCUAAGGUUAUGUAAAACCAAAGUUGCUCCCCUGGAUGGAGGCAUACACUAGUGCACCCCUUGGGGUCCCGAGGACCAAGUUUGGGAAUCCUUGUUCUAGUCAUGCGUCUGUGACACAAGUUUACCACCAAGUGGCCAUACGAGGAACAGUCCUGUCAGUGUGUUUUUACUGCUGGCUCAAAACAACACGUGACCUGCAUACAUGAUAUGAUUAAUGUGUGAUCAUUUUGCAGAUAAUUUUGCUUAUUUUAGCCUAAAGACUCGAUACAAUUGGGGUAAGAUAAAUUAAUAAGAUGUCUAACCAAGACAAAUUGUCUAGUGCACUGGCAAAUAAUGGCAGAUCAUGUUGCUGACUUUAACAUAAAAAAGGCUUGAAACAGGUCAGAAUAUCAUAAUGACACGGCUGGAUAAAAUCUGAUUUUGGUGAAGGCUAAACUUGCCGGGUGUCUAAAUAGCUAGCCCGUGAUGGCUG
rnacentral:lncRNA from 1 species